GGUCCUGAGUUCAAGGUAACCACAUGGUGGCUCACAACCAUCUAUAAUGGGAUCUGAUGCCCUCUUCUGGUGGGCAGGUAUACAUGUAGAUAGAGUAAAUCAAUGAAUCUUUAAAUUUAUUUUUUUAAAAAAGGUAUAACUUUCUAGGGCAUAAUUCUAAUUAUCUAUUUCCUGCAAGUGGACAAUAUCUUCAAAACUUCACACCACUCGUCAAUGCCAAGUUCAACACAGGCGCCUCUUCAGGGGAUAUUUAUAUUCAAACCAUGACAAGAGUCUGUUGGGGCUUCAGAACUUCAGGGGUUGCUGUCUUUUGUAAAUAAGGCGGUUGGACCAGGUCCCAUUUGUUCAGACAGGGAGAGCAUCUCUGUAGGGGACAACUGAUGUUGUCGACUAUCUUCUAUCUCCUACCAAGUUCUUGUUUUGCCCUUCCCAACAAUGAAGUGGGCAGACAGGAAAGUGCUCAAAGGGGAGACACUUUAUAGUUAAUUCAGGAUCAACAACCUUAAGUGAGAAAAACAGAUCACAUGCAGGAGUGACAAAUGGAACGGACUGGAGCUCUCCUUAGCAGCAAGGUGCCAUCGGAACGCCUAGGAGUGUUACAGUCCCAGGAAGUGUUACAACUCUGUUUCCUGGAUGCCCAGUUACCUCUGUCAGUUCUCUCAGGCCACACCAGGGCCAACCAGUUGGGUUGCAGACUUGGGACCCCAGCACACUCAACUCUGCCCAGGUGGAGGAGCUCAUUGGUGACCAAUCAGAAGGCGCUUUCACUCAACCAAGGGCCAAUCGCAGAAGUCCUUUCUGCAACGGGCUAUUUAAAGAUGUGCGCCCUUGCUUCAGCAGCUGGAUGUGCUUGUCGGGGUUUGUGACUGAGACUUGGGACGUCAUCUACUGCUUCCCCCACCCCUGGUCUGGGCACCAGGAAGGCGGAUGCGCUGACCGACGCAGUACCCUCGGCAUGCUCGGGCUCCGAGGAGUCUCUGGAUUUGGACUGGGCAUUAACUUUUUACACACAGAGAAUCUAUGAGUUCUUCUCUUUUCACAUGAGCCUUCUUCCUUGGAGAAUGCUUGAGGUAAAGGAGAACGUACCAGAACUACAUUCUACCACUUUCCACAGGUUUCUAUUGGAUUUGCUGUGGGUCCACAGAACUGCCACACAGCUGACGCACUCAGUCCUAUUGGUUUCUAUCAGAGCCUCUGACUGGCAGCAAGACAUGGACCAGGGAAAUGUCUCGGUUGGUAAAGGUCCUUGGUUACAAGCUUGACAGUCUCUAUCUCUGGAACCUACAUCUUAGAAGGAAAACAACCUACAUCUGUCCUCUGACUCUCACAAGGCCUGCACAUACAUCACUUUAAAGUGGAGAGAGGGAGAACUGGAGAGUAAUAAUCCUGAAGUUAUAUACAGAACAUUUGAGCCUUUUCACAUCAGGCUGGAGUCUCAAGGGGCCCUGACAGAAGACUUUAACUCUGAGCACCCUGGAAGCAAGUUGGAACCUACC